AUUCGGAUAGAAUAAUCAAACAGCUUCCAAAAUAGACAAAGCAACAUUAAAGACGACUCGAUGUUGCUGAAGUAGUUGCUUUAAGUCGUUAGGCAUGUUUAUGUACAUGUUGUUGGCUAAGGCAAGAGCAAUUCAAUUAACUCAAGGUGGCCAACAAUAGGCAACAGGCAAUAACAAAACACAGAUAAGCAUUUGACGACACAUUUGUGUAUGUUUUCCACGUUGCCAAAGUCGCAUAGCAAAGUUACAAGCAACAGCGCUGACAAAGCCAAUUAGCAACAUCUAACGGUAGUUCAAGCAACUUCUUAUAAGUAAAUAACGCAAAACGAAAGAGAGAAAGACACAC